UACGUAGGGUGCAAGCGUUAUUCGGAAUUACUGGGCGUAAAGCGUGCGCAGGCGGUGAUGUAAGACAGAUGUGAAAUCCCCGGGCUUAACCUGGGAACUGCAUUUGUGACUGCAACGCUGGAGUGCGGCAGAGGGGGAUGGAAUUCCGCGUGUAGCAGUGAAAUGCGUAGAUAUGCGGAGGAACACCGAUGGCGAAGGCAAUCCCCUGGGCCUGCACUGACGCUCAUGCACGAAAGCGUGGGGAGCAAACAGG
rnacentral:rRNA from 1 species